UAAGAAUAAGUGGUCACUGCAGUGUCUUCUCCCUUCGAAAGAUCCAACUGAUGCUGAGGUAGAAAUUGAAUGUGGGCGCCCCGUAAUCCUCCUCUGCGGACUCUUGCGAGGAUGUUUCUUCAGUCUCCUGCAACACAUGGAGGGCAGGUUGUCUGCAAUGUAAACAUCCUUGAAAACCACCCUUGAAGUUUCUGUGAAAACAUUGAACAUCUUGGAAGGGGUGAGUGCCACAGGACAGCGGGGGGGUUUCCCAGGACUCCCUCCUCCCUGCUCCACAGCCCACGGGGAAGACCUCCACAGACCCCAAGAUUCAGCACUCUUCUCUUGGCAGUGGGGUGCGGCUGACUUCACUUGGAGGAAGCUUACUAUUCAACCCAAGCUAUUCCCAAUCGAGUUAGCUUAAGUCGUGACGCACUUUCAACACUGAUAGAAGUCAAUCCUUCCCUUUUCAGAUUCUCUCGCAUCCAGGCUUUUCCCAAGGGUGCCUUUUUGUUGACCUUCCCUACUGUUCUGUGCAUCUGUGAUUUUUUUUUUUUUUUUUUUUAAUC
ensembl:processed_transcript